rnacentral:rRNA from 1 species
AUUGAACGCUGGCGGCAGGCUUAACACAUGCAAGUCGAGCGAGCGGCGGACGGGUGAGUAAUGUCUGGGAAACUGCCUGAUGGAGGGGGAUAACUACUGGAAACGGUAGCUAAUACCGCAUACCAUCAGAUGUGCCCAGAUGGGAUUAGCUAGUAGGGGGGGUAAUGGCUCACCUAGGCGACGACCCCUAGCUGGUCUGAGAGGAUGACCGGCAACACGGGAACGGGGACACGGCCCAGACUCCUACGGGAGGAAGCAGUGGGGAAUAUUGCACAAUGGGGGCAAGCCGGAUGCAGCCAUGCCGCGGGUGUGAAGAAGGCCUUCGGGUUGUAAAGCACGUUCAGCGAGGAGGCGUUACUCGCAGAAGAAGCACCGGCUAACUCCGUGCCAGCAGCCGCGGUAAUAC